AUCCAUCAUAAAGAUAAGAUUAUUGCAAAUCUGCUUGAUAAGCAGCCUCACAAGGAAUAGUAAAGAAACUUCAGCAGACAAUUCUUAGAUGGAUACUCCUAAUUUUAUGUCUCGAAUAAGACUACAAAGAGUUGUGUCGACUUCUUUGCCUCUUGCUAGAUCACAAAUAACAACAUUUGGUUCUGCCUAUGCCAUAUGAAAUGCCAAAUUUGUAUCACGCCUAAUUGGUUCACUAUGAAUUUUUUGGGUACAUGUAUAUUUCAUUAAAAAGCUCGACAAUAACGUACAACAAAACCAAGGGUCAUACCCCAGCAUACAAGAAGGAACCAUAAUUACCAGAGCAUGAAAACAAAGAGAGCUAAAUUUUCUUAGUAGCCAUUACCUAACCAUAAACUUAUCAAUUAUCCUUAUAUUUGUUGUUUGUGGUACUCACGUAAUAAAUUAAGAAAUUAAAAAGUCUCUACUUUCUGGAAAAUGAAAGAUACUAACAGAAACCUGAGGAGAUAGUGUUCUUUGAAUGCCGGUCAAUUCAUGUAAAAUGAACUAGGAAUAUAUACUAGCUCUACUCUAAAAUAAAAAAAAACGUGGGUACAACCUGUAAUCAAGAAAGCAGUAAAGUUAAGAAGAUACAAUUGUUGUUUUUUUUAGGAUAAUAUGUCUUGGCUAUAACAAAGAAAGAAACUUACUCCAUCUCCAUUUCAAGAAACAAUCUAGACAAUUUCUACUUAACUCAACUCUAAUACUUUUGAAAGCAAGAUGAUGCAGUGAGGAGUAAAACAUAAGAACUAGCAGCUUUACUUCUGUGUAGGGGUUACCAGACUCAAAGGAGAAGUGAAUUAAAUCUAAAACCGAAGGAACUGAAGCAGAAUAUAAACACGAAAUGAGUCUAAGGGAUACAUUUACCUGGAGCUGCAUAACCGGAUGACCCACGUAAGCCAAUAGAACUUGAUUGAUUUGCAGAAGCAAUACAUGUCGCAUCUACAAGGAAUCUAGCUAACCCAAAAUCACCUACAUGUCCAACCAUUUCAUCGUCAAGAAGAACGUUGCUCGGUUUCAAGUCACAGUGAACUAUUGGUUCUGAGCAAUGGUGGUGAAGAUAAAAAAGUGCAGAAGCAACAUCAAACGCAAUAUUUAACCUCUUUAGAAGGUUUAAACUCUGCGACUUAUUGUGUGCAUCAUCUUCUUUCUCAUUUGGAUGCAACCACUCCUCUAGGCUCCCAUUAACCAUGAAAUCGUAAACCAGAGCCUUGAACUCGUCACCUUUAUAGUCAACACUUGAACAUGCAGUGAGGACAUGUACAAGAUUCCGAUGUCUGAUGCUCCUUAAGGCCUUACACUCGGCAAUGAAGCUCUUGGCAGCUCCCCCGGAUUGAAGGUUUAACACCUUCACAGCGACUAGUUUUUCACUUUGAUCAAGAUCAACAAUUCCUUUGUACACCGAACCAAAACUACCCAUGCCGAUUAGAUUGGCUGAAGAGAAUCCGUUGGUCGCUUUUAAUAGACUCCGAUAAGACAACAUAGGAAACGAGUGGCCAAAAAAGCUGAAAGAUCGUACCUCUGUUUUCUUUUUAAACCAACGAAGAUACACGAAAUAUAUCAUUAAAAGUAGACAUACAAGCCCAAAGGACGAUGGGAGUACCAACUUCACAACUUGAGUAAAUUUCUUCCUUGUGAAUCCCUUGGAUUGGCAAUUGCGUAGUUUUAAAUCAGGUAUACCACCACAAAGCUUCUUGUUUCCCUCAACAGAAAUAGCUGCCGCAAUCGUAAAUAUGCCUUGUUUUGGUACUUCUCCAUCAAAAUCAUUGAAUGAUAUAUUUAGUUUUUGUAAGAAAUGAAAGCCCUCUAAAUAGUCUGGGAUUUUUCCCGAGAAAUCAUUUAUAGAAAUGUCUAGAUCCUCCAAGCCUCUCAAUUGGCUCAAAGUUGAUGGAAGGACUCCCCAGAACUUGUUGCCCUUCAAAUUAAGAGAUGCCAAUUUCACACAACUACCAAGGCUGCUUGGAAUAUUACCAACCAACAAAUUCUCAGAAACAUUUAGUGUUACAAGAUUUUUUAAAACCCCGAUUUCCAAGGGGAUGACACCAGUCAAGUUGUUAUGAGAUAGGUCUAGAGAAAACAAUGAUGAGAGACUAAUAACUCCUUUGGGUAUGGUGCCACUAAGACUAUUUUUGGCGAGCGUAAGCUCCAUCAACAUCUGGCAUUUGCUCAAACUCGACGGGAUGCUUCCCUGAAGAUUAUUUUCGGAUAGAUCUAGAGUUAGUAACAAGGAUAAGUUUCCGAAAGAGGAUGGGAUGUCACCAUAGAAUCUAUUACC